rnacentral:rRNA from 1 species
AAUAACUCAACGGAUCGCAUGGCCUUGCGCCGGCGACGGUUCAUUCAAAUUUCUGCCCUUUUAACUUUCGAUGGUAAGGUAGUGGCUUACCAUGGUUUCGAUGGGUAACGGGGAAUUAGGGUUCGAUUCCGGAGAAGGAGCCCGAGCAACAGCUCCUACAUCCAAGGAAGGCAGCAGGCGCGCAAAUUACCCAAUCCCGACACGGGGAGGUAGUGACAAUAAAUACUGAUGCGAGGCUCUUUUGGGUCGCGCAAUCGGAAUGAGUACAAUUUAAACCUCUUAACGAGGAACAAUUGGAGGGCAAGUCUGGUGCCAGCAGCCGCGGUAAUUCCAGCUCCAAUAGCGUAUAUUAAAGUUGUUGCAGUUAAAAAGCUCGUAGUUGAAUCUUGGGCCUGGCUGGCCGGUCCGCCUCACCGCGUGCACUGGUCCGGCCGGGCCUUUCCUUCUGGGGAGCCCCAUGCCCUUCACUGGGUGUGCGGGGGAUCCAGGACUUUUACCUUGAAAAAAUUAGAGUGUUCAAAGCAGGCCUUUGCUCGGAUACGUUAGCAUGGAAUAAUAGAAUAAGACGUGCGAUCUUAUUUUGUUGGUUUCUAGGACCGCCGUAAUGAAUAAUAGGGAUAGUCGGGGGCAUCAGUAUUCAAUUGUCAGAGGUGAAAUUCUUGGAUUUAUUGAAGACUAACUACUGCGAAAGCAUUU